GCCUGGGUGGCUCAGUCGGUUGAGCUUCUGACUUUGGCUCAGGUCAUGAUCUCACAUUCGUGGGUUCAAGCCCCACACCAGGCU
rnacentral:tRNA from 1 species